UUGGGGUUGCUUUUAGUUCUCACUGCUCUAGUCUGUUCUAAAUAGGCAGUGAAAUACAUUAAACUUCCUUAUGCUGAGUUAGUUUUGCCCGUUAUGGUAACUGUUGAAUGAUGUCUCUGUCCUUAUGUUAGUCCAUAAGGGUUUUUCAUGCUGUUUUCUCCCCCGUCCUUUGGAAGAGUGGGAAUGCGAGCCAAUGUGAUGGUGCUGAGCUACCUACUGGUGCCCAAGCACCACCGAGGGAGAGAAGUAUACCUCUCAAUUAAGUUCCUCAAAUACUACAUGAAGAAAAAUGUUUAUAAACUGUAGUUUUGUUGACAGCUCCUUAUCACUGAUGUUGCUUUCUGCUCUAUCCUUGACCAGUCUGAAAAAAAGAGUGAGUCUUGUAAAAAUCUAGAAAAUACCAUUUUUCAUCUACUGUUGAGUACAGUCUUCAGGGUGGUUGUUGGUUUUUGUUGUUGUUGUUGUUCGUUUUCUGUGUUCUUGUUGUUCCUGGUUUUCCUUUGAGGCUGUAUGGAAGUUGGAGAUUCCCUGAAUUCUUAAAUGUGAACCAAGGAGGUGAAGACCCAAAGACCAAGCCACUUGUUUGUUCAAAGUGAGAUACUGUUACUAAUGGCUCAAAGAUGCAAGCUGACCACACAGUUUUUGGCACAGUUACCAUUUUAGUUAAAAAUCUGCGUACCUGUGGAAAGUCUGAGAGGCAUCUUGCUGCUACUAAUGAACUUUAUCUUUACAAAGUACUACCUACAGAUGAAACUCCCUUGUGAAACUUCAUUUAAGCUGAGCAAGUGAAUAUUUGGCAAUACCACUGAUGUCUGUUUGCAGGGGUGCAGCGAGGAAUCAUGAUUAAAAGUGGUUCAAAGAGCUGAUUGGAAAGGGGACCAGGAUACCUCCCCAGGCAGCUGUGGGCAAGAUGGUUACCAGGUAGGGUAAUUACCUUGUCAGUACCGUGCUGAACAGUCCUGAGGAGGUGAGUAUAGAAAGGCCAGUGGUGACUUUGGCUGUCAUAGUCAGUAGCAUUAAGGACCAUAACGAAAAAUGGCCACACUGAUAAGGAGAGAUUCUAGAAAUACAGGGAGAAAGAAACAUCAAGCGCAGGCUAGAGAGGAGAAAGGGAUACAAAGAUGCUGUGGUCAGUGUCAUAACCAUGGUAUCACUAAAGAAGAAUAAUCUGAGCUUGUUUUUGGCCAUGUUGUAUAUAAAAGGCUUGAAGAAUAUCUGAAAAAAAGAUAGAAUCAGGUUAGGAUACAGAACUCAAUAAAAGACCAACUAAAACAUGAUCAAUUUCUUUGUGAAUGCUUCAUGUGAACUGCAUUUGAGGCAUGUGAGUAGGUAAAAUUUUGGGGAGAAGAGGGCCUCGUUGGACCUUACAGAAGUAAGAAUCCAAUCCACUAGGGAAACUUUCAACAUAAUGUGUGUGUGUGCAUACACUAGCUUUCGGAAGCUUUGUCCCUUUUAGUCCUUGUUCGCUUUUCCAUUUCAGAGAACAGGAUGGUGCAAACUUGCUGGCUGCAAUAGUGCUGUGUGUGUACAAAGUUAAGGUUUUGUACAGGUAUUACAGAGACGUUUAUGCUCUGUAAACUCAGUUUUAUACAAGUGUUUCUGUACCUGCAGCUCGGCAAUAUCAUGGUAAGUGUGUGAAGAACGUAAGCCAGAAUUGCUCAAAAGCAGCUGAGGACAGGCAGUGAAGGCUAAAGCAGCUUGUUAGUUCUGUGCAGCCAGCUGCAUCAGAGGUGCAAAUGAGGACAAGAAUGAAGUACACUUGCUUGUGCCAAAAGGCUCUGCUGCCAGCUGCCUUCACGAGUGGCCACUGCUUUUUUUCCCCUUGGAGGCUAAAUUCAGGUGUCCCUUUUGAGAAAGGGCAGGGGGAAGUAUCUGGGUUUGAGCACUCCAAGUGGGAGUGAGUCCGGGAUCCGAGCAACCCCUCCAGAACCAAUGCGUGAUUAAAUGCAGGAAAACUGCUUCUCAUUUGUUGUUUGUGUUAAGUUCACCAUCUGGUCACUGGAUCUUGCUAAACGCCUUUGUAUGCAAGAUGAAGACGCCCCCGGUUUCAGCCAGCUUCUCCUAUUACAGAUAUAUAGCAAGCUGGCCACCUUUCAGUCCUCCUCUUCACUAAUUAGUUCAGGCUGUUGAACUUGGGCUGCAACAAUGCAAUCAAUGAAAGGCAGCUAGAUGUAAGGGGACACAGCCGUAUGUAAAGUAAGACACCUGAGGUGGGACAUGAGAAAAUUCCAUUAGGUACAUUCAGUGUACAGGAUUUAGUCAGGUCCUGUUUUAUGAAGAGAGAAAAUGACAAACUAUGCUUGUAAUGUAAGGAAUGAAGCUAGAAGUUGAGAAAAUUAAAGGAGGGAACAAAGAAUCAGAAGCUAAAACAGAAACUGAAGCAGGGAAAAUGACGGCUAAGAAACAGAGAAUAUACUAUCAGCUUCCCUCUUUUUUUUUUUUUUUUUUUUUUUUUUUGAGUGUUGUCUAGUACAUCUGACAGCACUGAAGUCUGCAGUUAGCUGGUUGGCUGGCAGUUGUGUGUUACUGGAAAAAAAAAUCUGCAGUUUUUAUUUCACCCUCUUCCCCAUACCUGGAGACUGAGCUAAAAGGAUCAACUGUACACAUAAAGUCUAGGCAGACUUGUAUCCAUAUUUUUGAGUUAUUAAUGAAAGGGUUCUGCAGUUCUUCAUACUUUGACCUCAAUAACUGAGAAAGAGGAUGUCCUAGCCACAAGUUGUGUGCAAACACGUGUGUGAAAGUAUUUUCCUUUCUCCCACUUUCCUGUUUCUCUGCAGAAAAGGAGAACACUGGGUUUUGGAGUCUGAUUGAUUUCCUCAGCUAUUUUGAUAGCUCAAGGUAUUGGUAGCAAUCCCAACUAGAGGGCUGGAAGUCAAUACUGUAAAAUACUGAAGAAACACAUUGCUAAAUAGUAGUAAUGGUCAUACAGGUAAUAGCAUAAGCAUUGUGGUCUGCCAGGCAGGUACAAAACAAACUGUUACGAUAUACGAUAUAGCUAAAAUAUUUCUUAGGGCCAUGUUUUUUGUCUGGCUUAGGCCCCCUGCUGCAGCUGAGCACCUAGCUCAGUGUAACCUGUGGUGAUGCCGUGGGCAGCAGCAGGAGUGCCCAAGUGGGCACAGGGAGAGAAGGCCGAGCAGCGCUUUUUGGUUGGGUUAGCAGCCUGGGGGAUGGGGCUUCUGUUACCCAAAGCUCCCAGUGCUGUGAAUACUGGAUGCUUGAGUGAUCUGUUUUGUCUGCAGGCCCCACCAUAGCUCUGCUGGUGGCACUUCUAUUGCAUGGGCAGUUCCACAGACUGAGUCUUUCUCUGAAAGUGAAGAUACAAAAAGCUAGCAUCUGGAUCUCUCUGAUUACAAAGAUAGAGACAUUUUUCCUUUUGUUUCACUACAAAGGUAAAACAAAUGAUCUGGAUCUGGGUCUGAUCUUGGUUUAUGUUUGCCCAGAAGAAUGUUACUGCAUCCAUGGUUACAAUGUGCUUUCCUGCAUGGACCACAAGGCUUCUAAGCAUUUACUUCAGGGAUCUUUGCACUGCGUGGUGGGACCACUGAUGGAACUCCCAUGGGUUGUAAGGGCAUUUCUCUGGCUCCUUAGAUGCACGGUCCCAGAGGAGCUGGAAGUUUCUCUUUUUCGGGUAUCAGUCUAGUUUUGGCCAACUAGUAAUUACAUUUUAUCAUGUGUCAAGGGGAUGGCAAUUUCUUGUUUUCUUUUUUUUCUGGGUAGGAAGGCCAGAUUAGUGCACAACUGAAGAAGAGAAGCCAUACGUUUUGACAAGAAACA